rnacentral:lncRNA from 1 species
GUGGUUCUGCGGGGCUGCUUCUCUUUCUUCCGUUUCAGACAGGGUCUCUCAUUGAGUAUGGGACCCACCAAGUCUGGCUGACUAAUGAGCCCCAAGGAUCUACCUCGCUCUGCUUUUCCCGCUACAGGGUUACAAGCACUUUCCAACAUCACACUGAACUUUAGAUAAACAAACAAGCAAAAGACAUGGAUUUAACUCAUGUCUUCCUGCUUGCAUGCCUAGCACUUUACUGAGUGUGUCAUCUCCCCAGCCCUCUAAGCCUAAUUCCAUGGGACAUCUUUCUUAAAUCCAGAAACCCUACUCUGUUGCUCUAGCUGGCACCCUAUUGUUUGCGGACACUCUGCUGGGAUUCAGAAGUCUGGUAGUUAUACCUGGAACCUAUGUUCAAAGCUAUGUGUGACAUAGGUCGGUUGUUGAUACCCUUUGAUCUCUGGUGCCUGACCUACAAAGCUGAUAGCUUAAUGCCUGGUUACCUUACGGAGCUGUGGCAGAAAUGAAUGAGACCAGCCAGUCACGGAAAGCACUAGGAGAGGCAGGUACUACUCCCUGGACCUGUUCUGAAUUCAUCCCAGGCCUAGGACUCUUCAGCUCAUUUGCAAAUCCAGACACCAGCUUGUAGGAUGAGAAGGCUUUUUGUCUCCCUCCUGCUGGGUUGCUUAGAGAUGGCUCUGACAGCUAGGUGCCAAGAGGAAACCUGGGCUUCCGUUUCCAGCCAUGUCCCCAUGGGCAACCCAGGCUGAGCCAGAGUUCACAAGGAUCGGCAUGAAAAGGGAAAACAAUUUGUUCAGGAGCCCUAGAGUCAGAUGCUCAGCAUGCUAAGCUAGUGGGGGUUUUCAGCUUUAAUCAGCAUCAAGUUAAUCUUAUUUUGAGGGAUGCUAAAGAGUCCAAAAAAAAUCUACAGGUAGCUCCAGAUAGUGAUCCCUGGUCUUGGUUCCUCACUCCUUCUUCCUCGGGUCCCCCAUCCCCCUCCUUCUAGUCCUCCUGGAGCCAGCCUGGCAGCAGGUACCUGGAUUCUUCCAGAUACAACCACCAGCAUUUGCCCCAUGCUUCAUCUGGGCCAAGUCAGCAACCGAACUGCUUCUCUCUCUUUUCAGUCUUGUUAUCGGUUGGGGUUCUCUUUUCUUUCUUUUCUGUUUUCCCCUCCAUCUCCUGUUCAAAUUCCUCUGAGUUUUAUUCACCCCACAAAUUAAUUCAUUGCAGCUAGUGGGAUGACAGGUAGAACCUGGAGAGUGAUUGCCCCACCCCUCCACCCCGUGUCCAGGACAUCAGCCUGGUGACAGCAGUGACAAAGCCUUCUGUCUGUGGCAGGGACCCAACACUGCAACUGACUCCAGGUUCUGCUGUCUGAGCUGCUCAAAACCCCUUUGACACCUGGGCUCAUUUGGGGUCUCUUCUGAACCCAUUCAAAGUGCCUCUGGGUCUUCUCUAGACACAGCCAUCAAGCCAGCCUGCAUCCUAAAUAGGAUUUCCUUCUGCUUGAGGUUGAGAAAGUGGAAGUACCAAGCUGGAGGCCUCUGUGCCUAGUAUGCAGAGCAAUGCCCUGAAGCCAAAGAAGCCAUGGUAGCUGGCCCAGUGUUCCCCAGGCCUCAACGUAGAUCAGUGGUUUUCAACCUUCCUAAUACUAGGACCCUUUAAUACAGUUCCUCACACUGUGAUGACCCACAACCAUAAAAUUAUUCUUGUUGCUACUUUAUAGCUGUAAUUUUGCUACUGUCAUGCAGCAAAAUGUAGCC